CUCAAAGAGAGGCAUAGGUAGGGUAGACAGUCAGAACUUUUCUCCUCCCAGUGUGGAAAUGUCCAACACUAGAGGGCACAACUAUAACAUGAGAGGCGGAAAGUUUAAUGGAGGUGUGCGGGGUAAGUUUUUUUUUGAACUACAUAGAGACUGCUGGGGGCAGUGGCAGAUACAAUAGCGGUGUUUAAGAGGUUUUUAGAUAGGCACAUGGAAGUACAGGGAACGGAGAUAUGGAUCAAAUGCAGGCAGAUUAGAUCAAUUGAAGUAGGUAUAAUUUUCUGCACAUUGUGGGCUGAAGGGCCUCUUCCUGUACUGUUCUAUGUUCCAUGUUCUAAGUCUCUGAUGAUCUUCUUUGCUCCUCUCAGUCAUCACCAAUGCAACAUGCAAGCUUUCACUAGCACAGAGCAUGGACCGGCAGUGAGAGAAUUCAACUUUGUUCCAGUAGAGAAUGUCUGAGCAAGUUUCUUAAUGUCUCAAAAGCCACAGUAUAAAAGUUGGCACGUAAACUGCGAGGGAUCGAUGAGAUGAAAGUGGGAAACAAGUCCAAUGACAGCAGCUGGUGAUUUGUUUGCAGUCGAGCUACUGGAACACUACAGGCAAGGCAAGUUCUGUGGAAAACCAGGGGUCAGCUAAAGGCAAAAGAUGGUUGCAAGGGGUAUGAGCACAAAAGGCAGGGGCCCAGACCAUGGAUGUUAUGGAACCACCAGCACUCAUUCAAGGUUGCCCAGUGCUAGGUCCCACAUGGGUAAGGCACACUAUAACAGGGUGCAAUGCCUGAAAUAAAUUACUGCUUACAAGGAGAGUAGUUAGUUUACCUUGGAUACAGGGGACCAUGGGCAUGGAAUUGUAAAAUCCGAUGAGAUGGUGAAAUUGUAUCAAGGAGGAUGAGGAGGACUGUAUAUUUAAGGCCAUCCUGCGGAAAUUAACUAAUGCACGCAUUUUGAUUGUGAAGAAGUUCAAUCUGUCAUUGGCCUUGAAAAUCCAAGAUACCUCAAGCUCUUUCUGUCAAGAUAGAGCACAAUGGCGUUGGGCGUAUCUAGGAGAGGUACUCCAAGUUUUGGGGAAGGUGAACUGCUGGUUUGCAAGUGCAGAGAAUUGUCCAGUUCUCCAUCAGUGUUGGCAGCAAUUAUAGCUUACACUGUGAUUGAGCAAAUCUUGUUUUUGAAAGAAUAAUGGCACAGAACAGCAAAUAAAUCCAGAAGAUAAGACACAAAAUGCUGAGUAACUCAGCGGGUCGAGACCCAUCUUCAGACAGAGUCUGGGGAAAGGGAGACAGAGAUACAGAAGGUACAGUGUGAAAAUGAGACACCAAAGGGGACAAUGUUCAAGGAGAAUAUAGGAUAGAUCAUUGUUGGCUAGGGGAAAGUGACAACGAAGCAUGUAAUCAGAAAGACAGUCAGACUUGUUGGAGAACUAGGAUGGGGAGGGAUGGAGAGAGAGAGAGGGAAAGCAAGGGAGUCAGUUAUGCUUCAGACUGCCUUGGCCCCAUCCAAGUCUCUAUUUCCAGUUAGAAUUCAGUACUUGAAGGUUCCCUGCACAGUAUACCAGCACGCUCCAUGCGGACAUGAACUCCUGAUCCAAGGAUAAUGGAGCCGAAAUAUAAAACCUGAGGAAUCUGGCAGAGAAAGGACAAGCUGCACAAAGCUGUAAUCACACCUGUACAGAGCACACAAAACGGCAACAAACAUCCAAAAAUCAACACACAAAAAAUGUCAUAAAGUUUAUUUGUAACACGGUUAUGGUAACAUCUGCAAACGACUGUUACAAUUCCAUUUAGCGGCACUGGUGCGAAACAUGCUUAAGGCACUUUUAUAAAAAUAUAUGUGUAUGUGUUGUAAAUCCAAAUAGUUUCUAUAGCAAGAAAUAUGGAGCGAAUUCUCGUGUGAAACAUAAAAUGUUGCAGCAGAUAUGAUGGCAAAACACUUUUCCUCUCUCUCUCUCUCUCUCAACCCAGUGUGUUAGGAACAUACAAAGUCAAAAACAAA